rnacentral:rRNA from 1 species
CGGGCGUCUUAACAUGCAAGUCGAACGAGAGCGACCGGUGCUUGCACUGGUCAAUCUAGUGGCGAACGGGUGAGUAACACGUGGGUAACCUGCCCAUCAGAGGGGGAUAACAUCCGGAAACGGAUGCUAAAACCGCAUAGGUCUUCGAGCCGCAUGGCUUGAAGAGGAAAAGAGGCGCAAGCUUCUGCUGAUGGAUGGACCCGCGGUGCAUUAGCUAGUUGGUGAGGUAACGGCUCACCAAGGCCGUGAUGCAUAGCCGACCUGAGAGGGUGAUCGGCCACAUUGGGACUGAGACACGGCCCAAACUCCUACGGGAGGCAGCAGUAGGGAAUCUUCCGCAAUGGACGCAAGUCUGACGGAGCAACGCCGCGUGAGUGAAGAAGGUUUUCGGAUCGUAAAACUCUGUUGUUAGAGAAGAACAA